rnacentral:rRNA from 1 species
UACGAAGGGGGCUAGCGUUGUUCGGAAUUACUGGGCGUAAAGGGCGCGUAGGCGGUUCGUUAAGUCCUGUGUGAAAUCCCUCGGCUCAACCGGGGAACUGCGUGUGAGACUGGAUGGCUUGAGUUUGGGAGAGGAAUGCGGAAUUCCAGGUGUAGCGGUGAAAUGCGUAGAUAUCUGGAGGAACACCGGUGGCGAAGGCAGGUCUCUGGGCCACUACUGACGCUGAGAAGCGAAAGCAUGGGGAGCGAACAGG